rnacentral:rRNA from 1 species
AUUGAACGCUGGCGGCAUGCCUUACACAUGCAAGUCGAACGGCAGCACGGGUGCUUGCACCUGGUGGCGAGUGGCGAACGGGUGAGUAAUACAUCGGAACGUACCUUAUCGUGGGGGAUAACGCAGCGAAAGUUGCGCUAAUACCGCAUACGCCCUGAGGGGGAAAGCGGGGGACCGUAAGGCCUCGCGCGAUUAGGGCGGCCGAUGUCUGAUUAGCUUGUUGGUGAGGUAAAAGCUCACCAAGGCGAUGAUCAGUAGCUGGUCUGAGAGGACGAUCAGCCACACUGGGACUGAGACACGGCCCAGACUCCUACGGGAGGCAGCAGUGGGGAAUUUUGGACAAUGGGGGCAACCCUGAUCCAGCAAUGCCGCGUGAGUGAAGAAGGCCUUCGGGUUGUAAAGCUCUUUUGUCAGGGAAGAAACAGCAGCUCUAACACAGUCUGCGAAUGACGGUACCUGAAGAAUAAGCACCGGCUAACUACGUGCCAGCAGCCGCGGUAA